GAUUUCCCAACUUCGGUUAUAAGAUUCCUCGAAGAUGACGAGGUUAAUAGGUUCGAGGUGGAAGCGUGGUGACACGUGGAGCUGACGAAUACUAAUCGAUCGAAGACUUAAUCAA
rnacentral:rRNA from 1 species